rnacentral:rRNA from 1 species
UCUCCUGGAAAACGGGUGGUAAUGCCGGAUGCUCCGACUCCUCGCAUGGGGUGUCGGGAAAGAUUUCAUCGGUAUGGGAUGGGGUCGCGUCCUAUCAGGUAGUCGGCGGGGUAACGGCCCACCGAGCCUACGACGGGUAGCCGGCCUGAGAGGGCGACCGGCCACAUUGGGACUGAGAUACGGCCCAGACUCCUACGGGAGGCAGCAGUGGGGAAUAUUGCACAAUGGGCGCAAGCCUGAUGCAGCGACGCCGCGUGCGGGAUGACGGCCUUCGGGUUGUAAACCGCUUUUGAUCGGGAGCAAGCCUUCGGGUGAGUGUACCUUUCGAAUAAGCACCGGCUAACUACGUGCCAGCAGCCGCGGUAAUACGUAGGGUGCAAGCGUUAUCCGGAAUUAUUGGGCGUAAAGGGCUCGUAGGCGGUUCGUCGCGUCCGGUGUGAAAGUCCAUCGCUUAACGGUGGAUCUGCGCCGGGUACGGGCGGGCUGGAGUGCGGUAGGGGAGACUGGAAUUCCCGGUGUAACGGUGGAAUGUGUAGAUAUCGGAAAAAAAACACCA